rnacentral:rRNA from 1 species
UACGGGGGGGGCAAGCGUUGUUCGGAUUUACUGGGCGUAAAGGGCGCGUAGGCGGCCAGUGCAAGUCAGUUGUGAAAUCUCCGAGCUUAACUCGGAAAGGUCAACUGAUACUGCUCGGCUAGAGUGCGGAAGGGGCAACUGGAAUUCUUGGUGUAGCGGUGAAAUGCGUAGAUAUCAAGAGGAACACCUGCGACGAAGGCGGGUUGCUGGGCCGACACUGACGCUGAUGCGCGAAAGCUAGGGGAGCGAACGGG